rnacentral:rRNA from 1 species
CCUACGGGGGGCAGCAGUGGGGAAUAUUGGGCAAUGGGCGCAAGCCUGACCCAGCAACGCCGCGUGAAGGAAGAAGGCUUUCGGGUUGUAAACUUCUUUUAUCAGGGACGAAGCAAGUGACGGUACCUGAUGAAUAAGCCCCGGCUAACUACGUGCCAGCAGCCGCGGUAAUACGUAGGUGGCAAGCGUUAUCCGGAUUUACUGGGUGUAAGGGGCGUGUAGGCGGGAGUGCAAGUCAGAUGUGAAAACUAUGGGCUCAACCCAUAGCCUGCAUUUGAAACUGUACUUCUUGAGUGCGGGAGAGGCAAGCGGAAUUCCGGGUGUAGCGGUGAAAUGCGUAGAUAUACGGAGGAACACCAGUGGCGAAGGCGGAUUGCUGGACAGUAACUGACGCUGAGGCGCGAAAGCGUGGGGAGCAAACAGGAUUAGAUACCCGAGUAGUC